rnacentral:rRNA from 1 species
UACGAAGGGGGCUAGCGUUGCUCGGAAUCACUGGGCGUAAAGCGCACGUAGGCGGGUCGUUAAGUCGAGGGUGAAAUCCUGGAGCUCAACUCCAGAACUGCCUUCGAUACUGGCGAUCUUCGAGUCCGGGAGAGGUGAGUGGAACUCCGAGUGUAGAGGUGAAAUUCGUAGAUAUUCGGAAGAACACCAGUGGCGAAGGCGGCUCACUGGCCCGGUACUGACGCUGAGGUGCGAAAGCGUGGGGAGCAAACAGG